GCCUAGAUAGCUCAGUUGGGAGAGCGUUAGACUGAAGAUCUAAAGGUCCCCGGUUCAAUCCCGGGUCUGGGCA
rfam:Helobdella robusta unplaced genomic scaffold HELROscaffold_7, whole genome shotgun sequence.